rnacentral:lncRNA from 12 species
UGUUUUACAGAAUAAGAAAAUACAUGAAGAAGGAAAACAGUCCUUACCUCUGUGAAAAUUCAAAUUCGAUGUACCCAGGAGUUGUAAAAUUGCACCUUUAUUUCUCACUGCAUCUGGACCUACUUGCAGAUAUGCAUUCUACUUUGAAGAAACAUCAAUUUAUAAGGAAGAGGGUGUGAAUAAAAUGCAAUCACUUG